AACAGAAAACAGAGUCAAACUCUCUCAAAAAUUCCUCUCAUCCGGCCAGGGUCCGGCCGUCUCCGAUUAUCAGGCCCCGUCCGUCGGCCACCGCACACGGUGGUCGGAGGCACAAAAUCGGACCUUUUUGGUCCAUUUUGAAGCCGGUCGCCUCUAGGACACGGAUUCGAGGCUGAAUCCCGUGAAAAAUGAGCCCGUACUCGAGAAAAACGAAAAGAGACCGUUCGUCUCCCCUCCCUCUGGCACGGCGCAGGUCCUGGUAGAGCAGGUGGCGGCAGAAGGCUGAGGUGACAAGGGCGGUGGCAGCAGGUCAAGGGUGCGGCGCUAGUCUGACUAUUUGGGUUUCGGUUUUGGGCCUAAUUUGGGGUAUUAGGCCUGUUUUUGUAAAUGGACUAGGUUUUAGUUUGGGCUGAAUUGGGUAGCUGGGUUUGUUGGGCCUAUUGGGCCCGGACAUAAAAUUGGGCUGUACACUUAAUUUGUAUAUGAGAAAGUAUUUUAGUAAUUUCAUAACUAAAUUCCCGCUCUAA